rnacentral:rRNA from 1 species
ACGGGUGAGUAACACGUGGGCAACCUACCUAUAAGACUGGGAUAACUCCGGGAAACCGGGGCUAAUACCGGAUAACACUUUUCUUCACAUGAAGGGAAGUUGAAAGAUGGCUUCUUGCUAUCACUUACAGAUGGGCCCGCGGCGCAUUAGCUAGUUGGUGAGGUAAGAGCUCACCAAGGCGACGAUGCGUAGCCGACCUGAGAGGGUGAUCGGCCACACUGGGACUGAGACACGGCCCAGACUCCUACGGGAGGCAGCAGUAGGGAAUCUUCCGCAAUGGACGAAAGUCUGACGGAGCAACGCCGCGUGAACGAAGAAGGUUUUCGGAUCGUAAAGUUCUGUUGUUAGGGAAGAACAAGUACCGUUCGAAUAGGGCGGUACCUUGACGGUACCUAUCGAGGAAGCCCCGGCUAACUACGUGCCAGCAGCCGCGGUAAUACGUAGGGGGCAAGCGUUGUCCGGAAUUAUUGGGCGUAAAGCGCGCGCAGGCGGUUUCUUAAGUCUGAUGUGAAAUCUUGUGGCUCAACCACAAGCGGUCAUUGGAAACUGGGGAACUUGAGUACAGAAGAGGAGAGCGGAAUUCCACGUGUAGCGGUGAAAUGCGUAGAUAUGUGGAGGAACCCCAGUGGCGAAAGCGGCUCUCUGGUCUG